GGACGCCCGUGCCAUUGUUGGAGCUGAGGGCACUGGCAGAGUUAUGACUGGGCCUAGGGCAGUCCCCAGGCUCUCAGGAGGUAGCAGAUGAGUCUGACUUGUUUCACUCAGCAGUGACUGCUCCCAGCUUCUUAUGGAUGU
rnacentral:SRP_RNA from 14 species